rnacentral:lncRNA from 1 species
UCUGGAAUGUUUUCAAGUAGUUUUUGCUGUGCUCGCUGUUUGGUCUCUUGCCUUUGUUCAUCACUCUUGGCAGUCGGUGGUGGUGCUAACUUUCCAUUUGGCCAAAAAGCAUCUCGAAACACACCAAUAUAGUAAACAAGCAUUGCUUCACUGAACAUCCAGUGUACAGUGUCACGGAUUUGCUUGUUGAUGGUUCUUCCAAAAGUGACUUGUACUAGUGCAAUUAAUGUUUUUCUCACCCACUUAAACAUUCCUCGCAGCUCAAAGAUCUCCCCAAUCAGCAUGAAACACGGCUCAGCAAUAGAGUCCCUUUUUCCAUCCACCUCUUCCCCAUAGUCCGACAGGUCACUGUCCUCUUCAGUUUCUUCCUAAGAACAGAGGGACAAUGCAGGCACAGCAUGACAUUCAUGACAUUUCCUCAAUACUGCUUUUUUUUUCCCCCCUUCUCAUCUUCUGGUCCAGCAAACCUCCUUUGUGACUUCAUUUCUCUUAUUUUGUUUUCUUUCUUUGCCUAACAGUGAUGGACUUUCAAUUGCCUAUCAUCCAAACCCUGCAUGUACAUGGGGCUGGAACUGGAUGAUCUUCAAGAUCCCUUCCAACCCUCUCAUUCUGGGAUUUUACAGUCCUAUCCUAUAGCACCUCAGCUGUACACCAGAAGGUCUUACUCCUUCUUCCCAUCAUCCAAACCCCACCUUUGCAGUGCCCAGCAUUGCCAAGCAGCAAUAACUCGCUGUGUAAAUGCAGGAAAUGAAAAAAAAAAUGAUACUGAUAAUAUUACAGAAAAAAGAUCCCAGGGCC